rnacentral:misc_RNA from 1 species
AAAAGAGAAGGCAGUAUGAUAGUGCAGGGUUUGAGGUGCAUUUUUCAGCUCCUUUACUUUUUCCUUUUUAUCACAUCUUUAAUAUGAUGUUUGGUGCCAUUUUGUAAAAAAGACAAUGCACAGUGUGGGGCUUUAGGUGCUUCUUCUUCAGGUCAAUAGGAACUGAGACUUCCCUAUGGAAAUUAGAGGGGCAAAAAAUCACGAUAAUGUGCUUGGGGCCAAGAAAACCCUUCAGACAUCAGUAGUCAGAGCUUGUGACAUUGUUGAACUGAAUUUUUUCACUAGAAUCCUUCUCUAGCGGAUAUGUAUUAUAUUUCUUUCUUAACACCAUUAUCACCUUCCACAAUGGUUGUGUCAAUAGUUAUAACAUGUUGAUUUUCUCUCCCAAAAUUUGCAGCAGUUCCUUUCUGCCUGUUAUCCAUCAAGGAUAUAUGAGGUCACUACAAUCCUGAAUAAAAAGGAAUGAAACACACAAGCUACCAUAGCCAUUUUCAUCGAGUGUAACAAAUUUAUCAUCAUUUUGCCAAAAGCUUUCUUCUUAUAUGAAAAAACCACUUUGUUUCACUAAAGGUCAUCUAUUUUGAUCAUUGGAGAGGUGCCCUACUUCCCUUGUGUUUGUGCCUAUCUAUCAAAGUUUAAAAUUUUAAAUGGGAAGUGAAAUGUGGAUACCACCUGGUGAAUUCUUUGCUAGUAUAUCCAAUGCUCAGCCCCCCUGCGCCCUCCUCUUCUUCUGUCUCUGUCAUGUAGAUCCUAAAAGGGUGGUUAAAGCUUAAAAUUUUGGAAUGAGGGUUUGAACAUAUUAAUGGGUUUUGCCUGUAGGUUAACUACAGGUGAAUAAGGAUUAGGGCUAGUGAAAUCAAAUCCAGUUAGUUUGGAAUUGGUUUUACUGGAUUAUUCGUGCUGAACAAAGUAACAAAAUUAUAUAGGAGGAUUUGUAGUGAUAGAACCAAAGAGCUAAGUUUAGGUUUAUACAUAGUUGUGAAACCAAGAGGCGCACCAGGUGGGGAGGACAUUGCUUCAAAUCAGCAAAGGCGGGCGACCUCACAGAGGCGUGCCCCAGUGAGGUUAGCUCCGCCAUUGCAGAAAGUCGACUGAAAAAAAAGAAAAGAAAAAAAGAAAAGGAUUUACAUCGUUGAGUGCUAUUUGAAAAUCUAAUGCUCGUAUUGCCUUGUGCUUUUAUAAUGCAUACAGGGAAAGAAGUUUGUUCAUCAUUUGAAAUUUUGCUCUCAUAUGACCCAUACUUCCAGCGAAUUAAUCUGAGUCCUUAGUAUGCAUGCUGCUUCUCUAUUUUGAUUGUUUGUUCGAUUUCAUUUUGUUUUCCCAUAAUGAUUUUGGAAACAUGUCAGAUAUUUCAACAUUUCAUGUGGUGUCAUUGAAAGUAGAUGUGUUCCAAAGCAUUUUAUUAAAGUUUUGUUGCUUAAUUAAUUCUUUUAUUUAAUGAAGUUCUUGGCUAUUUUAUUAAUCUGAAACCCUAAAAACAGUUUCUCAAAUCAAGAACUAGAGAAUUAGGAAAUUUAGGAAGAAGAAUUGGGGAGAAAAAGAGCAGAAAGAAAGUAAAAAAAGAUAAAGAGUGGAGAAGAAGAAAGAGGUCUUUUAUUGAUUUCUGAUCUGCCAUUACAGUUAUUUCUUCCUCCUUUUAUAGCAAUUGUAACAGAUUUUGCCUCCAGCAGUUGUAACUGCUCCUUACAAGCUGAUCUAGAAUAAC